rnacentral:rRNA from 1 species
AGGUGACCUCAGUCAGGUAGGAAUACCCGUGAA